rnacentral:rRNA from 1 species
GACGAACGCUGGCGGCGUGCUUAACACAUGCCAGUCGAACGAAGAGCGAUGGAAGCUUGCUUCUAUCAAUCUUAGUGGCGAACGGGUGAGUAACGCGUAAUCAACCUGCCCUUCAGAGGGGGACAACAGUUGGAAACGACUGCUAAUACCGCAUACGAUCUAAUCUCGGCAUCGAGGAUAGAUGAAAGGUGGCCUCUACAUGUAAGCUAUCACUGAAGGAGGGGAUUGCGUCUGAUUAGCUAGUUGGAGGGGUAACGGCCCACCAAGGCGAUGAUCAGUAGCCGGUCUGAGAGGAUGAACGGCCACAUGGGGACUGAGACACGGCCCAGACUCCUACGGGAGGCAGCAGUGGGGAAUCUUCCGCAAUGGACGAAAGUCUGACGGAGCAACGCCGCGUGAGUGAUGACGGCCUUCGGGUUGUAAAGCUCGGUUAAUCGGGACGAAAGGCCUUCUUGCGAAUAGUGAGAAGGAUUGACGGUACCGGAAUAGAAAGCCACUGCUAACUACGUG